rnacentral:rRNA from 1 species
RRAACGAACCUCGACAACGGAUAUCUCGGCUCUCGCAUCGAUGAAGAACGUAGCGAAAUGCGAUACUUGGUGUGAAUUGCAGAAUCCCGUGAACCAUCGAGUCUUUGAACGCAAGUUGCGCCCGAAGCCGUCAGGCCGAGGGCACGUCUGCCUGGGCGUCACGC